GGAGGGCGUUUACCACGGUGUGGUCCAUGACUGGGGUGAAGUCGUAACAAGGUAACCGUAGGGGAACCUGCGGUUGGAUCACCUCCUUACGAAGAC
rnacentral:rRNA from 1 species